rnacentral:rRNA from 1 species
AACGAACGCUGGCGGCAUGCCUAACACAUGCAAGUCGAACGAACUCUUCGGAGUUAGUGGCGCACGGGUGCGUAACGCGUGGGAAUCUGCCCUUGGGUACGGAAUAACUCAGAGAAAUUUGUGCUAAUACCGUAUAAUGACUUCGGUCCAAAGAUUUAUCGCCCAAGGAUGAGCCCGCGUAAGAUUAGCUAGUUGGUGGGGUAAAAGCCUACCAAGGCGACGAUCUUUAGCUGGUCUGAGAGGAUGAUCAGCCACACUGGGACUGAGACACGGCCCAGACUCCUACGGGAGGCAGCAGUGGGGAAUAUUGGACAAUGGGCGAAAGCCUGAUCCAGCAAUGCCGCGUGAGUGAUGAAGGCCUUAGGGUUGUAAAGCUCUUUUACCCCGGGUAUGAUAAUGACAGUACCGGGAGGAAUAAGCUCCGGCUAACUCCGUGCCAGCAGCCGCGGUAAU